rnacentral:rRNA from 1 species
AGAGUUUGAUCCUGGCUCAGGAUGAACGCUAGCUACAGGCUUAACACAUGCAAGUCGAGGGGCAUCAUGGUCUUACCUUGCUAAGGCCGAUGGCGACCGGCGCACGGGUGAGUAACACGUAUCCAACCUGCCGUCUACUCUUGGACAGCCUUCUGAAAAGAAGAUUAAUACAAGAUGGCAUCAUGAGUCCGCAUGUUCACAUGAUUAAAGGUAUUCCGGUAGACGAUGGGGAUGCGUUCCAUUAUAUAUAGGCGGGGUAACGGCCCACCUACUCUUCUAUGGAUAGGGGUUCUGAGAGGAAGGUCCCCCACAUUGGAACUGACACACGGUCCAAACUCCUACGGGAGGCAGCAGUGAAGAAUAUUGGUCAAUGGGCGAGAGCCUGAACCAGCCAAGUAGCGUGAAAGAUGACUGCCCUAUGGGUUGUAAACUUCUUUUAUAAAGGAAUAAAGUCGGGUAUGCAUACCCGUUUGCAUGUACUUUAUGAAUAACGAUCGGCUAACUCCGUGCCAGCAGCCGCGGUAAUACAGAGGAUCCGAGCGUUAUCCGGAUUUAUUGGGUUUAAAGGGAGCGUAGAUGGAUGUUUAAGUCAGUUGUGAAAGUUUGCGGCUCAACCGUGAAAUUGCAGUUGAUACUGGAUAUCUUGAGUGCAGGUGACGCAGGCGGUAUUCGUGAUGUAGCAGUAAAAUGCUGACAUAUCACGAAGAACUCCGAUUGGGAAGGCAGCUUGCUAAGCUGCAACUGACAUUGAGGCUCGAAAGUGUGCGUAUCAAACAGGAUUAGAUACCAUGGUAGUCCACACGGUAAACGAUGAAUACUCGCUGUUUGCGAUAUACGGCAAGCGGCCAAGCGAAAGCGUUAAGUAUUCCACCUGGGGAGUACGCCGGCAACGGUGAAACUCAAAAGAAUUGACGGGGGCCCGCACAAGCGGAGGAACAUGUGGUUUAAUUAGAUGAUACGCGAGGCACCUUACCCGGGCUUAAAUUGCAGAUGAAUUACGGUGAAAGCUCUAAGCCGCAAGGCAUCUGUGAAGGUGGUGCAUGGUUGUUGUCAGCUUGGCCUGUGAGGAGUCGGCUUAAGUUCCAUAACGAGCGCAACCCUUGUUGUCAGUUACUAACAGGAUUUGAUGAGGACUCUGACAAGACUGCCAUCGUAAGACGUGAGGAAGGUGGGGAUGACGUCAAAUCAGCACGCCCCUUACGUCCGGGGCUACACACGUGUUACAAUGGGGGGUACAGAGGGCCGCUACCACGCGAGUGGAAGCCAAUCCCAAAAACCUCUUUCAGUUUGGACUGGAGUUUGCAACCUGACUCCAAGAAGCUGGAUUUGCUAGUAAUCGCGCAUCAGCCACGGCGCGGUGAAUACGUUCCCGGGCCU